rnacentral:rRNA from 1 species
GAGCGGUAGCACAGAGAGCUUGCUCUCGGGUGACGAGCGGCGGACGGGUGAGUAAUGUCUGGGAAACUGCCUGAUGGAGGGGGAUAACUACUGGAAACGGUAGCUAAUACCGCAUAACGUCGCAAGACCAAAGAGGGGGACCUUCGGGCCUCUUGCCAUCAGAUGUGCCCAGAUGGGAUUAGCUAGUAGGUGGGGUAAUGGCUCACCUAGGCGACGAUCCCUAGCUGGUCUGAGAGGAUGACCAGCCACACUGGAACUGAGACACGGUCCAGACUCCUACGGGAGGCAGCAGUGGGGAAUAUUGCACAAUGGGCGCAAGCCUGAUGCAGCCAUGCCGCGUGUAUGAAGAAGGCCUUCGGGUUGUAAAGUACUUUCAGCGAGGAGGAAGGCAUUGAGGUUAAUAACCUACAGUGAUUGACGUUACUACGCAGAAGAAGCACCGGCUAACUCCGUG